rnacentral:rRNA from 1 species
GACGAACCGUGCAAACGUUACUCGGAUUCACUGGGCUUAAAGGGCGCGUAGGCUGUCCGCUAAGUCGUGGGUGAAAUCUUUCGGCUCAACCGGAAGACUGCCCUCGAUACUGGCGGGCUAGAGGGAGGUAGGGGCAGCGGGAACUGCCAGUGGAGCGGUGAAAUGCGUUGAUAUUGGCAGGAACGCCGGUGGCGAAAGCGCGCUGCUGGACCUUCCCUGACGCUGAGGCGCGAAAGCUAGGGGAGCAAACGGGAUUAGAUACCCCGGUAGUCCUAGCCCUAAACGAUGAGUACUAGGUUGCGGAUGUGACAUGCGUUCGCAGCCGAAGCAAAAGUGCUAAGUACUCCGCCUGGGGAGUAUGGUCGCAAGGCUGAA